rnacentral:rRNA from 1 species
CUAGCGAGACUGCCGGUAAUAAACCGGAGGAAGUGGGGAUGACGUCAAAUCAUCAUGCCCUUAUGACCUGGGCUACACACGUGCUACAAUGGUUGGUACAACGAGUUGCGAGUCGGUGACGGCGAGCUAAUCUCUUAAAGCCAAUCUCAGUUCGGAUUGUAGGCUGCAACUCGCCUACAUGAAGUCGGAAUCGCUAGUAAUCGCGGAUCCGCACGCCGCGGUGAAUACGUUCCCGGGCCUU